CACCAUGACCCGACCUGUUUUUUUAGCCAGCAUGUGCAACUCUCUUAUGAGAACUUAUAGUCACCAUAUACUGUGGUAAGAGAUGUACAGGUGGUGCAGGGUAGACAGAAGUGUCACUGGGGACGUUCUGUUCAGACAAAGUUGCGAAGACUCUACAAAGCCUCCAGGGGCCUUGCAUGACCAGAACAGUAUGCAGAUGAACGCAGAACUAGACGCGACUCCUCCAAACCUCACCUGAACAAACAGGAACUCUUGGCUUCUCAGUGAGGUGAUGUCUGGCUUUUCCAAUGAAAUCUCACAGGUAAUUGCUGGUCUGUGCCGGGAACCUGACUACAGUGAACUGCCUGUGCCCAACCUGUGUCACCUGGAGAAUGCCCCACCCCAGGUGGUAAGCAUGGAAGGAGUUAGCAGCAGGAGGCACCAGGCAACCGAUCAGGAGGCCUCUCUGGGGCCCUCCCCGCCUCCUUCCUCAGCAUGCAGCCUGUAUCCAGUCAGUGUUCGGAGGGUGACAGCAUCAGAAAACCCACGAAAUAGCCUUCAGGGGACGAGCUGCGAUGAGCUAUGUGGCCCCGCAUAUUUUGGAACCACCCAGGGAUAACGUUCCGAUUGUAAUUAAAAAUGAG